GAGAGUAUAGCUUAGUGGUAGAGCACGUGCUUAGCAUGCAUGAGAUCCUGCGUUUAAUCCCCAGUUCCUCCU
rnacentral:tRNA from 1 species